rnacentral:rRNA from 1 species
UGGGGAAUAUUGCACAAUGGGCGCAAGCCUGAUGCAGCCAUGCCGCGUGUAUGAAGAAGGCCUUCGGGUUGUAAAGUACUUUCAGUCGGGAGGAAGGUGGUAAGGUUAAUAACCUUGGCAAUUGACGUUACCGACAGAAGAAGCACCGGCUAACUCCGUGCCAGCAGCCGCGGUAAUACGGAGGGUGCAAGCGUUAAUCGGAAUUACUGGGCGUAAAGCGCACGCAGGCGGUUGAUUGAGUCAGAUGUGAAAUCCCCGGGCUUAACCCGGGAAUUGCAUCUGAUACUGGUCAGCUAGAGUCUUGUAGAGGGGGGUAGAAUUCCAUGUGUAGCGGUGAAAUGCGUAGAGAUGUGGAUGAAUACCGGUGGCGAAGGCGGCCCCCUGGACAAAGACUGACGCUCAGGUGCGAAAGCGUGGGGAGCAAACAGG